GCCUUCUAGGAGAAAACAGAACACAGAGGCAGGAUGAGGCCGGGCUCCAGAGAGGGCCCCGCCUGGAGGGGCUGGGAGGGACCAGCCACAGGCCUGUGGAGGGCGGUCGGCAGCCAGCAACGGUGCUGGCAGAACCCGCCGAGGACUGGCUGGUCAGCCUGGGGGUCUGACCACCUACGGGGCGAGACAGCAGGGCCCUGGGGCUGAGGACUCUUCAUGCAGGUGCGUACGUAUCGCGCAUCACCAUCUCAGCCUGCUCCAAGGAAGGUGGUUCAGAGAGGGGACCUCCACUGCUUCUCCCCAGAACAACACGAAGACCCCCAACUCCCAGGCCCUGACUUGGGUGCCUCUGAAGGAAAACGUCUGUUCUGAUGAUGCCCAAACAGGGGUGUCAGUGGCCUCACCUCUGCACCAGACUAGCUGCACCCUAGCCAGGCGGAACCAGAGCCGGGGAUCCCCAAGUCAGCAGACACCAAGAUGGUGGAGACAGAAGCCAGUCCUUUUCCCAGUGCUGCAAACACAAGCCUGCCCUCGCCGCCUGCCUUCUGCCAAAACCUCUCCUGGGCCGAGUGGCCAGAGCACAGAGAUUAAAAACACCUUGGAACAACUCAGCCGGCAGGCUGGGCCCGCACAGAGCCCAGGACAAGCCGGACCGCCAGACACCCCUCACUGCUCUGCCCUGCCCGGCCCACAAUGGAGUCCUCCACCGAUCAGCAGCCUCCUGCCUGGGGUCAGAGAGCCAUGCCGGGAAGGGAGGUCUGUGAUGGGAGCGUGGAGCAUGCCAUCUCUGCCAUCCGCCAAGCCCCUGGCCUCAUCCCCAAAGCAACCACAGCUUAACAAUACCACAAAACAACCUGAACCAACGAGUGAAGGUGGGGUGCAGGGAGCUCUACGCAAACCAAGCAAACCAACUCGGAGUCGGAGGCCAUCAGGUAGGUCAAUGCUCGCCAUGCACCUCACGGACACAGCCAGAGGCCCUCUGGAAAGGGCGCUCCCAGCAACCAGCCACACACCUACGGAGGGGGAAGCCAGCCCUGGGCUCCCCCUGCCCAGCAGGACCAAAGGAGAAAGCAUUCAGCUACAGCUCCGCACCACCCUUCCAGGGCCACAGGCGCCAGACAAGCCCGAAGUAACUCAUCAUGCAGGGCUCCUCCUCCUGCCCUCGGCCGGGGCAUGUGGCAGGGCUCCAGACAGCAGGGGCUGGCCAGGAGGCGGGGGCUGGAUCAUGGCAGGGCCCUCCAGCCUCACUCACUGCCCUGGAGUGAGAUACCCACUGUGACUCUGUCCUGGAGGUCACUGCCACUCGAUCACUGAGCCUCCUCGAGGCGGCCAGCCAGCCGGCAGCCUUCCCGCCUCCCCGCACCCGGCCCAGCGCCCCCACAACACAGUCUGCGCAGAGAAGCAAAGUGCAGAGCAAGGGGUCGCUUGCCUUUGUUGCCAUAGGUCCUGGCGCAGUGGAACGCUGCUCCCCCAUUCGGUAUGGGCUCCUGGUGCCUGGAGACCUGGGGAAGGGGAACACCGUGGUGGGUUUUAACAUGGACCUUUAAGUAGGAGGCAGAGGAGAAACCUAAACAAGACAAAAGGAGAUGAGAUCCCGCGGCCAGCACCGAGACACCUCUCUGCUUCCCCCACGCGUCUCCUCCGGCCGCUCUGGCUAGCAUCCCCAGGCCAGCUGCACCUAGAAGGGGCCCUCCUUGGCUCAAACACAGCUGCAACCACAGGAGCCCUCUGGCUCAGGAGCAAGGAUGGCACUGUCCUCGAAUCGCUUCCUCUGCAGAGCCCACUCCGCCAGGCUGCGGUGGAGGGCCCAGGCCAGCUGCCGGGACGGAUGGGUGUCAGGUCAAAGACCAGACGCCUCUAGGCUUGCUUGGCACCUCAGUAAGGAGUGGUUUUCGUGGUCCCGCAGCCACGGGUCAGCUGCAAGGACCACAGCUAGAAACGGAGUCAGAAAGUCAUCCGGGUUCCCGGGCCGCCAGCCAGCCAGCAGAACGCUCGCUAACACUUGUAAACGGUACCACCGAUCAGAUGGAGGGGAGAUGAACUCCCAAAGGAAUGCCUCCAGAGCAGCCCUGCUUCUAUUUCUUAGAACAUGUUCUAGAUGCUACAUUUUCACCUUCAGAAUAACUGGACUUAGUAACCGCUUAGACGUUUUGAUGAAAAAGAGGAUGUCACAUUGAAGAGUGUAGCCAUCUCUUAUUGAUGGUGGCCUUUUGGUUCAGUUUUGGAGCAUCCGUCGGGUUCAUUUAAGGAAAAAGCAGGGAUGAUCUUUGCCUCUAUUGGGGGGGGGGGGGGGACAGUCCAGCCAUCUUGGGGCCACUCCAGCCCAACCCAGACGCUCCGGUCAGUUUGAGCUGUGUCAUCUCUCAGGCUGGGGAGAGGAGAUCUUGGGCCAACUUCCGCACCACCCACAAGCCCGCAGAUAUGGAACCAGGUGGGCAGGUCAGAGGGUUUCGGCUUGGGUUUCACAGGAAGAAGCUGUGUCAUCGAACCCCAUUCAUGGCCAAGGAUCAGCAAGUGCCUUCAGCAGAAAGCGAAGCUUUUGAGCAUGAGGCCCACGUGGGGUGCCAGUGCCUUGAUGAUGUCCUUCCAUUCACUCAGUCCUGGCUGACAUAUUCUCAGAACUGCAAGAGAAAGCAACCUGCCCCUCUUAAGUGCAUUCCAGAUCGAAGGUUAACCUGCUGAAGACCUGCUACCCUGUUCACUUGCUCCUGCUGAGUCUGUUUAACAGAAGCCUAUCCUGGGAUCCUUAAGGUAAGUGAGCAGUCCUCACGGACACUUAUCUAUUUCCUUACUGUACAAGUACCGUUAUCUGUCUCCUUAUUGUACAGUCAAAAGCAAGAAACAAGCCCACGUGAUACUCGAGGCCGAAGAUGCCACGGCGGCUACCCUAAUCCUAAUACCCUGUGUGCAUCAGGACAGGCCUUGCUGUUCUGUCACUAUCUUUUAAGUAAGCGUUACAAGUUUGAGCAGAACACUUUCUACUAAUAAAGCACCGCUUUUAUUU